UUAACUCAUAUUUGUAUGGAAUGGGAUCGUUUGCGUACGUUUGCCGCUAGGGGCGCUGUUCCAACUGCAUACAAAAUUGGGUAA
rnacentral:pre_miRNA from 1 species